GGAUGAAGAACGUAGCGAAAUGCGAUAAGUAAUGUGAAUUGCAGAAUUCAGUGAAUCAUCGAAUCUUUGAACGCACAUUGCGCCCUUUGGCAUUCCGAAGGGCACACCUGUCCGAGCGCCGUCGCACAACUGAGGCGCAGCCUUGCGUUGGCGGGCGACUUGUGAGUAGCGAGUCGCCGCCCAAACGAGACGGCGCCGCGCCGCGGCCGACGAAGCACGAAAGCGGAAGUCGACGCGGAGGCGGUUGCCUGUAGGAAGACACAGCUUGGCCUCGGAUCAGGUGGGGAUACCCGCUGAACUUAAGCAUAUCAAUAAGCGGAGGA
rnacentral:misc_RNA from 1 species